AGCAGCCGCGGUAAUUCCAGCUCCAAUAGCGUAUAUUAAAGUUGUUGCAGUUAAAAAGCUCGUAGUUGAACUUCGGGGUCUACCCAUUGGUCAGGCUUAAUUGUCUGUACUGGUGAGAUGGAUCUCUACCUUCUGAGGAACUUUCAUGCCAUUUAUUUGGUGUGGUUGGAAAUCAGGACUGUUACUUUGAAAAAAUUAGAGUGUUUAAAGCAGACUAUCGUCUGAAUACAUUAGCAUGGAAUAAUGAAAUAGGACGGACUGAUUCUAUUUCGUUGGUUUCUAGGAUCACCGUAAUGAUUAAUAGGGAUAGUUGGGGGCAUUAGUAUUCAAUUGUCAGAGGUGAAAUUCUUGGAUUUAUUGAAGACUAACUACUGCGAAAGCAUUUGCCAAGGAUGUUUUCAUUAAUCAAGAACGAAAGUUAGGGGAUCGAAGACGAUCAGAUACCGUCGUAGUCUUAACCAUAAACUAUGCCGACUAGGGAUCGGACGAAGUUAAUUUUAUAAUGACGCGUUCGGCACCUUACG
rnacentral:ncRNA from 2 species